ACGGAGGGAGCAAGCGUUGUCCGGAAUUACUGGGCGUAAAGAGCUCGUAGGCGGGGGUUUAAGUUUGAGAGUAAAUGCGUCGGCUCAACCGACGACUCAUCUCGGAUACUGGAUCUCUUGAGGGCAGAAGAGGAAAGGGGAAUUCCUGGUGUAGCGGUGAAAUGCGUAGAUAUCAGGAGGAACACCUGUGGCGAAGGCGCCUUUCUGGUCUGUUUCUGACGCUGAGGAGCGAAAGCCAGGGGAGCGAACGG
rnacentral:rRNA from 1 species